rnacentral:tRNA from 1 species
UGUGGCUCAGUGGUAGAGCACUUGCUAGCAUGCAUGAGGCACUAGGUUCAAUCCCUAGCA